GGGGGUAUAGCUCAGGGGUAAGCAUUUGACUGCAGAUCAAGAGGUCCCUGGUUCAAAUCCAGGUGCCCCCU
rnacentral:tRNA from 1 species